CCAACGAUACCACCACCUAAGAAGCCUCCUACAAUUUCACCAUCUACACCUACCACACCACCACAAACCUUGACUCCGUCUAAACAACCAAUUCGUCCAAUGACACCACCACCUAAGAAUCCUCCUACGACGGCACCACCUACUCGUUACACACCACCUACUUUGCCUCCUUCAAAACAACCACCUCAUUCAAUGACACCACCAACAAAGCAGGCUCCUAUGAAAGCGCCGCCUACUCCUACCACACUACAACCUAUCUUGUCUCCCACACAACCACCUCGUCCAACGACAUCACCACCUAAGAUAACUCCUAUAACACCACCGACUCCUACCAAAUCACAACCACCUAAGACGACUCCUGCCAAACCACCAACUCUAACCACACCACCACCAACUCUGACUCCUUCUGGACAACCACCUCGUCCAGUAACACAACAACCUAGGAAUCCUCCAACUUCAACACUUCCAACUUUGCGUCCUUCUACACCUCCACCUCAUUCAUUGACAUCUCCACCUAAGACGGCUCCUACCAAAGCGCCGCCUACUCCUAGCACACUACCUCCUCGUCCAAUGACACCGCCACCUAAGAAGCCUCCUACAAUUUCACCAUCUACACCUACCACACCACCACCAACCAUGUUUAAUUCACCGCCACCUCGAACAAUUGCACCAUCACCUAAAAUGCCACCAACAACAUCGCCACCUACUCCUAUCACAUCUCCGUCGAAGCUACCUCCCACACAACCACCUCGUCCAACGACAUCACCACCUAAGAUAACUCCUAUAACACCACCGACUCCUACCACAUCACAACCACCUAAGACGACUCUUGCCAAACCACCAACUCUUACCACACCACCACCAUCUCUGACUCCUUCUGGACAACCACCUCGUCCAGUAACACAACAACCUAGGAAUCCUCCAACUUCAACACCACCAACUCCUUCAACACUUCCAACUUUGCGUCCUUCUACACCUCCACCUCAUUCAUUGACAUCUCCACCUAAGACGGCUCCUACCAAAGCGCCGCCUACUCCUAGCACACUACCUCCUCGUCCAAUGACACCGCCACCUAAGAAGCCUCCUACAAUUUCACCAUCUACACCUACCACACCACCACCAACCAUGUUUAAUUCACCGCCAC
rnacentral:lncRNA from 1 species